rnacentral:rRNA from 1 species
UACGAAGGGUGCAAGCGUUAAUCGGAAUUACUGGGCGUAAAGGGCUCGUAGGUUGCCAACUAAGUCAGACGUGAAAUCCCUCGGCUUAACCGGGGAACUGCGUCUGAUACUGGAUGGCUUGAGUUCGGGAGAGGGAUGCGGAAUUCCAGGUGUAGCGGUGAAAUGCGUAGAUAUCAGGAGGAACACCGGUGGCGAAAGCGGCUUCCUGGCCCGACAUUGACGCUCAUGUACGAAAGCGUGGGGAGCAAACAGG